UGACCUCAAAUCAGGUAGGACUACCCGCUGAACUUAAGCAUAUCAAUAAGCGGAGGAAAAGAAACUAACAAGGAUUCCCCUAGUAACUGCGAGUGAAGCGGGAAAAAGCUCAAAUUUAAAAUCUGGCGGUCUCUGGCUGUCCGA
rnacentral:rRNA from 1 species